AUCGGACUCCACUUCCACGCACAGAUCAGAGAAGUCACUGUACAGAUCACUUUCCCUUUCCUUUUGACUUUGAAGCUUCAACAGAAAAGAGAGUACUUCACGUAGAGCAAGAGUUUUCGCCACGCUAGCUGAUGGGGCUUUAAAAUUCCUCGCGAACCCAAAAAUUAUGAGUCCAUCUUGGUUCCGGAGGACUCCCGCAGCUGCGGCCUCUCGUGUUUCACUGCACCAAGCCGCGUUGACGUUCAAUUUGAGGUUCCCCUUCGCCGGCGGAGACCAACGAUCUACUAAGGCGUUACGUGCCUUCCAAAUCAACCAGAUAAUGCCGGCCAAGAUCGCCGAACGAGGGAGGGUCUUCCGACGAGGAAAGGGUGUCACACAACGACAGGAGGAGGAGGUGUUCGGGAGUCUCCGGGACUCGGCGGCAAAUCGGGCAGAGAGGAUGAGGUGCCAUCUUUCUUUUGUACAGAUUUUCUUUUGUCGGUAGAGCAUUUGUGCAUAUGCUCCAUAAGAAAUGACGAACCUUGGGGUAGACUGAGAUUUGCCAUAUUUUAGUCCAUAAGUUCCUAGGAGGCUGAUAUGAUGACGAUGCCUGAUUCAUCUGUUGUUGCAAAAUUUGGGAGCAUAACCUAUUGCAGCCACUUUUAACCGAAUAGACUCCUUUUUUGUUCCCUGUCCACACCAAAGUGUCCUCCGAGGGGUUUGUGCUUAGUGGGAUUGUCAGGAUUUCUUGCACCACAUCUUCUUCGUAAAUUUCCUUAAUCAAUUGUGAUUUCCAUUCA